UGGUGUUUUAGCGUGGACUGCUUCCUCAU
rnacentral:piRNA from 1 species